rnacentral:lncRNA from 1 species
CUGGUUCACGGUGGUUCAGCGCUGUCAGCAGUUUCCAUGUGCAGCAGAAACCAGCAUCGGAACCUCGCGUAAAACAUACAAAGCUCAAAUGUGUGAGAACAAGAGAGGUGAGGACAGCAACAGCUUUUGGAUACUGGAAAAAGAUGUUAAUGACUGACAUGUGACAUCGGAGGCCAGCUUUUCCUGUGCUUUGAAGUAGAAGGUAAGAGCUCUCAGCUCAUAGUGAGAUAUGCUGGGAAUUCCAUCCAUCCACAUGGCAGAUUCCUUAAAUGGCUCAAAACUGGCACUCUCAGGUAUCUCACAAGAGAGUAUAAAAAGGGAUAAAGAAAAGAAAGCAAAUCUUGUGACUGUGACAAAUGGCGUUUUAUAAAAGAUAAGCGAAGAUCACAAUUUUAAGCUGAAUAAUGAAUACUCCUGGGUUCGAAAAGCAGAUACUCCAAAUUGAGACAGACACAGAAUGGAGGAAGACAGAGACUACAGGGAAACCUCAAAGAGAUGUCGCAAUGGUUUGCUGUCAUAAUUACACACAGAGGCAAAACUGCAUCCAGGAAGCAGUGUGUCCAUCUGAGUGGGUCCAUGUGGAAAUGGAUGUUUGCCCAGAGAGGCUACGAAGGCAAAGGCGAUUCAGUUGCUGCUGUUCAUUUCUGCUCACCUGGACACAGGUUGUUCAGGAGCAACUUCUCUGUGUGGUGUAAAAGGGCCCACGUGGACUGCCUCUGUCUGCUUUUCUCGGACCACCCUCCCGCUGGUCAUUACCUGCCAGCCAUGCUGGUUUACCUUCUAAGCAGUCAGCAAAGAUUGCGACCAGAGCUGCUUUACAGAGAGCAAAGGAGAUGCUGCCGAGUUUCACUGCAAGGACAGAGACAGAUGCAGCUUGGAGCAGGGGCUGUGUCAGGCUCUCUCAGUACCGUGCACCUGCCCAGCCAUCCCCAGGGGGCUGGAUGUUCCCAGGAGUGUCAGCCACGGAGCUAA